CGCGCGCACGCGCCGAAUUCCGCAAGGGAACCGGGGAACCAUUCCUUGGGGUGAAUCGGACAUCCUUCAUGUGAAGGACGUCCGUAGGAGACCUUCCUGCUCCGAACCCGUCAGCUAACCCGGUAGGCGAGAAGGAAGGAAAGG
rnacentral:sRNA from 1 species